UGAACCGCGUAGAGAUUUGGAAGAACACCAGUGGCGAAGGCGACUUUCUUGUCUGUAACUGACAAUGAGGCGCGAAAGCGUGGGGAGCAAACAGGAUUAGAUACCGUGGUAGUCCACGCUGUAAACGAUGAGUGCUAAGUGUUAGAGGGUUUCCGCCCUUUAGUGCUGAAGUUAACGCAUUAAGCACUCCGCCUGGGGAGUACGGCCGCAAGGCUGAAACUCAAAGGAAUUGACGGGGGCCCGCACAAGCGGUGGAGCAUGUGGUUUAAUUCGAAGCAACGCGAAGAACCUUACCAGGUCUUGACAUCCUCUGACAACCCUAGAGAUAGGGCUUCUCCUUCGGGAGCAGAGUGACAGGUGGUGCAUGGUUGUCGUCAGCUCGUGUCGUGAGAUGUUGGGUUAAGUCCCGCAACGAGCGCAACCCUUGAUCUUAGUUGCCAUCAUUUAGUUGGGCACUCUAAGGUGACUGCCGGUGACAAACCGGAGGAAGGUGGGGAUGACGUCAAAUCAUCAUGCCCCUUAUGACCUGGGCUACACACGUGCUACAAUGGACGGUACAAAGAGCUGCAAGACCGCGAGGUGGAGCUAAUCUCAUAAAAC
rnacentral:rRNA from 1 species